rnacentral:tRNA from 1 species
GAGGAUGUAGCUCAGUGAGUAGAGAGUUUGCCUAGUGUGCAAAAAGCCCUGGGUUCAAUCCCAGCAUCCCA